rnacentral:rRNA from 1 species
ACGAUCAGUAGCCGACCUGAGAGGGUGAUCGGCCACAUUGGAACUGAGACACGGUCCAAACUCCUACGGGAGGCAGCAGUGGGGAAUAUUGCACAAUGGGCGAAAGCCUGAUGCAGCAACGCCGCGUGAGUGAUGAAGGCCUUCGGGUCGUAAAACUCUGUCCUCAAGGAAGAUAAUGACGGUACUUGAGGAGGAAGCCCCGGCUAACUACGUGCCAGCAGCCGCGGUAAUACGUAGGGGGCUAGCGUUAUCCGGAUUUACUGGGCGUAAAGGGUGCGUAGGCGGUCUUUCAAGUCAGGAGUGAAAGGCUACGGCUCAACCGUAGUAAGCUCUUGAAACUGGGAGACUUGAGUGCAGGAGAGGAGAGUGGAAUUCCUAGUGUAGCGGUGAAAUGCGUAGAUAUUAGGAGGAACACCAGUUGCGAAGGCGGC